rnacentral:rRNA from 1 species
GACGAACGCUGGCGGCGUGCCUAAUACAUGCAAGUAGAACGCUGAAGAGAGGAGCUUGCUCUUCUUGGAUGAGUUGCGAACGGGUGAGUAACGCGUAGGUAACCUGCCUGGUAGCGGGGGAUAACUAUUGGAAACGAUAGCUAAUACCGCAUAAAAUGGAUUAUCGCAUGAUAAUCCAUUGAAAGGUGCAAAUGCAUCACUACCAGAUGGACCUGCGUUGUAUUAGCUAGUUGGUGGGGUAACGGCUCACCAAGGCGACGAUACAUAGCCGACCUGAGAGGGUGAUCGGCCACACUGGGACUGAGACACGGCCCAGACUCCUACGGGAGGCAGCAGUAGGGAAUCUUCGGCAAUGGACGGAAGUCUGACCGAGCAACGCCGCGUGAGUGAAGAAGGUUUUCGGAUCGUAAAGCUCUGUUGUAAGAGAAGAACGAGUGUGAGAGUGGAAAGUUCACACUGGGACGGGAUCUUACCAGAAAGGGACGGCUAACUACGU